AAUUAUUAGGUGUAGCGAGAGACUUGUUGAGUUUGGUCUUGGCUUAAGUAUCUUGGCUUUGAUUAUGUUAAAUACAUGGAACUAUAAGGUGUCCGAUGAGGGUUAAGCUAGUGAGCAGAGGUGAGGUUAAAUAUCGAGUCUCUGUUGAUUAGUUUGGAUAUUAUUAUUGAGAUAUGAUGUCGAAUGUAAGUUUCAUUGCGCCAGUAUUGGAGAUUAAAUUAAUGAAUGUGGGUUUGAUUUAGCAAAUAAUUAUUUAAUAGGAGGCCUAGUGAAUACUUGUGCCAGCAGCUGCGGUUAAACAAGAAGGCCAAGUUAAGAAUAGAACAGUAAAAAAUAGGGUUAAUGAUUUAAGGUUAAAUAAAGGUAGAAUGGCAGAAUUAAAGAUGGGGUUUAAUCCGGGCGCUGUUGGUGAUUUCGUUACUUUUAUUGUCAUGAUGCCCUGAAACUUGUGGUAAAGACCAGAAUUUGAUACUCUGUUAUUUUUAGUGUAAAUUUGGGAAAAAUCUACUGGGGUACUACGAGCAUGUUUUUUCGAUAGAAAAUAACGGAGCUUAAAACCCAAAAGACUUGGCGGUGCUCUAAGCCUGUCUAGGGGAGCCUGUUCUUUAAACCGAUAAUCCACGUUAUAUCUGACUUUCUCUUGAGUCUCAUGCUUUAUAAGCGGUUGGUUUUGAGAUAUCAGCCUGUAUACCGUUGUCUUAAGGGAACGCCGAGAGGGUAUAGGAGUUGCCAGGAUGAAGACCAAGCUUUGGUUUGGGUCUUCAAUAAGUCAAAUCGAGGUGCAGCUAACGGGAAAGGAGUAAUGGGCUACAAUAAUUAAUUUAUUUCGGAUCUUUCUUUGAAAAAAGUGAGUGAAGUUGGACUUAGUAGUAAUUAUGGAGGGAUUAGUAUGCCAAGGUGAAGAAAGCUAUUGGAGUGUGUACAAAUCGCCCGUCGCUCUCGCUAAGUGAAGUGAGAUAAGUCGUAACAUAGUAGGGGUACUGGAAAGUGUUCCUGGAAUAAA
rnacentral:rRNA from 1 species